UGGGGAAUAUUGGACAAUGGGCGAAAGCCUGAUCCAGCCAUGCCGCGUGUGUGAAGAAGGUCUUCGGAUUGUAAAGCACUAUAAGUUGGGAGGAAGGGCAUUAACCUAAUACGUUAGUGUUUUGACGUUACCGACAGAAUAAGCACCGGCUAACUCUGUGCCAGCAGCCGCGGUAAUACAGAGGGUGCAAGCGUUAAUCGGAAUUACUGGGCGUAAAGCGCGCGUAGGUGGUUUGUUAAGUUGGAUGUGAAAUCCCCGGGCUCAACCUGGGAACUGCAUUCAAAACUGACUGACUAGAGUAUGGUAGAGGGUGGUGGAAUUUCCUGUGUAGCGGUGAAAUGCGUAGAUAUAGGAAGGAACACCAGUGGCGAAGGCGACCACCUGGACUAAUACUGACACUGAGGUGCGAAAGCGUGGGGAGCAAACA
rnacentral:rRNA from 1 species